rnacentral:rRNA from 1 species
GUGGGGAAUAUUGCACAAUGGGCGCAAGCCUGAUGCAGCCAUGCCGCGUGUGUGAAGAAGGCCUUCGGGUUGUAAAGCACUUUCAGCGGGGAGGAAGGCGAUAAGGUUAAUAACCUUGUCGAUUGACGUUACCCGCAGAAGAAGCACCGGCUAACUCCGUGCCAGCAGCCGCGGUAAUACGGAGGGUGCAAGCGUUAAUCGGAAUUACUGGGCGUAAAGCGCACGCAGGCGGUCUGUCAAGUCGGAUGUGAAAUCCCCGGGCUCAACCUGGGAACUGCAUUCGAAACUGGCAGGCUAGAGUCUUGUAGAGGGGGGUAGAAUUCCAGGUGUAGCGGUGAAAUGCGUAGAGAGCUGGAGGAAUACCGGUGGCGAAGGCGGCCCCCUGGACAAAGACUGACGCUCAGGUGCGAAAGCGUGGGGAGCAAACAGGAUUAGAUACCCGUGUAGUCC